UACGGGGGGGGCAAGCGUUGUUCGGAAUUACUGGGCGUAAAGGGCUCGUAGGCGGCCAACUAAGUCGGAUGUGAAAUCCCCAGGCUUAACCUGGGAACUGCAUCCGAUACUGGAUGGCUUGAAUCCGGGAGAGGGAUGCGGAAUUCCAGGUGUAGCGGUGAAAUGCGUAGAUAUCGGAAGGAACGCCGGUGGCGAAAGCGGCGUGCGUGGACACCUACUGACGCUGAGGCGCGAAAGCCAGGGGAGCGAACGGG
rnacentral:rRNA from 1 species